UGAUUUACAUUAUGCAAAUAUUUUGCAAUUUUAUUUAAGGGACUUGAGCAUCUGCAGAUUUGGGAAUCUACAGGGAGUCCUGAAAUCAAUCCCCAGUGGAUACCAAAGGAUGGCUAUACUGUUAGGCAUUUGGGUCUGAUUGUCCUUUAUGCCAAUAAGCUUAUGUCCCACUAGGGGGAGCCAAAUAUACAUAUAAAUAAGCAUAACUGUUGCCCGUGCGGGGAUAGAAGUCGCUGUGGAGGUGUGUGUGGAGGAGGGUAUCAGAAAGAAUUAGGCCCCAGGACUGGUCAGGAAGAAUCUUCAUAGGGAAGGUGCCUCUGAACACAUUUCCGGGUAAGGAGGCUGCUGAGGUGAGCAUGGAACUGUUAGGUUUUUGUGUGAUGCCAACUGGAGUGACCGAAAAUGAGAUCUUUGGCCCUGGCCUUGUUUCCCGCACAUGCUCAGUCUUGUUGACUGACCUGGUCUGAGGAACAAAGAUCCCCCUGCAGGUUCAACGUGGAUGCCUCAGGACAACAUACCUGUGGCCCAGGCUUUGAUGCGAUACUUCAGGUUGGACCAAAUGAUGUUUUCUUGGGAGAAGCAGAAGACGCCGAGCCGGCCUCCUCGCAUGGUGGUGUCUAUGGUGACUCCAGAGUCAGCCACCAACUCGGAGCCUUCAUAGAAUCGCACCCUGUGGACAACACAGCAGAGCAGACCCAUGAGGCUCAAACCAAGGCUGCCGUAUCAGGAGCCUGUAAUCCAUGCCGCUUCGUAAACACACUGCAUAAGCUGGAGGAACGAGAAACAGGAGGGAGAGGCAGCUCUCAGCCCUCCUGUAUAAAGUUGGCCCCAUCGAGGAAACAGCUUCCAACAGUGUGCCUGAGAUGUACCCCCAAAUCUUCUCCACCUCUUGGAUCCUACUAGGACUGAUGGUCUCACCGCUAGAGCCACCCAGAAGUUAGAAGGUAGCUUGUACAUAGGAAUGAAGGCAAGGACCCGGGUGGACUCUACUGUUCUCUGACUUGAACACUAGCAAGAAUGCAACCAUUGCCACAUGGGAGACGAUGGAAUUUAAGAGGGCGAGGGCACAGGAUUGAGAUGAGUGACUUCACCCAUACCUUAAGCUGAAUGCCAGGUUCUGCAACAGCCCGGAACGGGGUGGCCUGCCAGUACGUCUGCUCUGUCUGCUUCCACAUGACCACGUAGAAGCUGGAGCUGUCCUGGUAACCAAAGAUGAAGCCGGCAUAGUCAUCAUCCGUCUGGGUAUUGACGUGGAAGGUCCCUUCGAAGUCAACUCCAUUAAAAGCCGUGUAUCCUGUAGAGAUCAGAAUACAAUUAGAAAAGCAGACAAAGCCACACGGGUAGCUGGGAAGAAUGAAUUCUACACAAGUGGUACUGAAGGCCCUGGACAUACCGACUGCCAGCCCGGGGUCGCUGUUCAUGGUCUGCACAAUCUCCAUGCCCUGCGGAGAGAGUUGAAGGAGUGAGGCGCAUUCUUCAAAGGGGCAGAGCGAGCCCCGAACCUCAGGCAUCGGGGGUGAGCAGCGGUCAGCGACGUCUGACCCCCAUGUAAAGAUUGCAUUAUCUGAGGGGUUGUUCUUCCUUGUUUGGGCUCAAAGCCGAAUAGAAAUAAUUUUGCUAAAACUGUCACUUAAGCUGACUCAAUAAAGCCUUAAUUGGAGAACAUACACUUCUAA